AAAAAUAAAUGAUACAUUUAAAUUUAAAGUCAAAAUAUAAUUGAUUAGCUCAAAUCAAAUACUAAAAUUAAAAUUUAAAAAAUUUAAAUAACUGACUCAAAAUAAUUCAUACUUUAUACAAAUUCAAUAAGUUUUUACCAAUAAAAUAUAUAUAUGGGUCAAUUGCAUACAGAUCCCUACAAACAUAGUGAAUUGCAGAUAUAUUCCUGUAAAGUUUAACUUUCAUAAGUUAUCUCUACAAAAAUUCUAAUGUUUUCAGAUAAGCCUCUGCCGUUAGAAUCUGUUAGAAAAGUUUAGUUAACCAUAGAUUAAAUACUUUAUCCGGAUUAAUUUUUGAUAUUUUUACCUCUCUUAUAUUAUAUUGUUAUAACUUUUAGAGGGACAUAUUUGUGAGGGUAAAAUUGAAAAUAUAAACAGAUUUUUAAUGGUUUUCUAACAGUAACAAAUUAGAAGGAUAUAUCUGAAAAUAUUAGGACUUUUGCAAGAAUAACUUAUGAAAGUUGAACUUUAUAGGAAUAUAUUUGUAAUUCACUAUGUUUGCGGGGAUCCGUAUGCAAUUACUCCAAAUAUUAUAA
rnacentral:lncRNA from 1 species